rnacentral:rRNA from 1 species
CCUANGGGAGGCAGCAGUAAGGAAUAUUGGUCAAUGGGCGCAAGCCUGAACCAGCCAUGCCGCGUGAAGGAUGACGGCCCUAUGGGUUGUACACUUCUUUUGUACGGGAAGAAAAAGGACUUUUCUAAGUCAACUGACGGUACCAGAUGAAUAAGCACCGGCUAACUCCGUGCCAGCAGCCGCGGUAAUACGGAGGGUGCAAGCGUUAUCCGGAUUCAUUGGGUUUAAAGGGUGCGUAGGCGGAAUAAUAAGUCAGUGGUGAAAGCCUGCGGCUUAACCGUAGAACUGCCAUUGAUACUGUUAUUCUUGAGUAUAGUUGAGGUGGGCGGAAUGUGUAAUGUAGCGGUGAAAUGCUUAGAUAUUACACAGAACACCAAUUGCGAAGGCAGCUCACUAAGCUGUUACUGACGCUGAGGCACGAAAGCGUGGGGAGCAAACAGGAUUAGAUACCCCGNUANUC